AUCUCCAUGCCAACAGCAAUGGCCAGUAAACCUCUGCAGCCAAGUAACCAUCAGCCUGACUACCCAGUUGUUUCUAUUGGAUGUUUAUUUGUUGCUCUCAUAAUCAAAGCCUGAAGAAGAGCUGCGUAUCAUCUGAAAACCUGCUUCCACUGUUAAAGAAAACUAAUUGUCAGGGACUGGGCAGAGGAAGAAUGAUGACCCAGGAAGGAGGAAGAGGAAGACAGUAUAGAUUUACAACAGGGGUUUGAGCACCUCAGAGGCAGAUGAGGAGGAAAGUUGGGAAAUCAUGGGAAAGCCAGAACAACACCCAGCUGACACGUUGUCAUUAGAAAGCAUUCCAGAAGUGGGGUGGAGGUUCAUUCAGGACAAUGCUAUUAAUCAAGAGGCUGUGCUCUAUAGUCUCUCUCUGCAAAGACUGAAACAAAAAAAGGACGGUAAGAAACUUUUCCUUGUCUUUAUACUUUCCUGGGCAACCAGCCAGGAGCCCCUGACAGCAUCCUGACAGAUAGGUUCUCUCAUUGUCCAUUGUGAUGUUUUAACAAUACCUAUUGAUGCAAAAUGAGCACUGGCGGCCAAUAAUUGCAUGAACCACUUUUGUUUCCUCUGGCAGCAGUGGGUACAUCUGCAGCAACACAACAAGACACCUUCAUUGACCCCAGGUGCAACAAAACAUGUUCCUCCUCUAUUGGUCUCUACAGAACAGGUGGAAGGCUUGGUGGUUUAGACCAAGUGCUACCCGCAAAGUUACGUGGAACAUUAUCUGACCAAAUGGGUUUACAAAGCUUAUGCCACAAUAAAUCUGCUAUCAUUUUAGGUGCUCCAGGGCUCUCCAGAAACCCAUAAUGCUUGUGAAUGCCUUUGUCUUUUCCUGGCCAACCAGGUAUAUUCAUUUGUAACAGCCCGUUUGCAUUUUUCAUGCCUACCUACCUGUCUCUAGCGCUGGAUCUGCUUUAGGAAUUUUGUACAGCAACUUGGCAGUUUUGUAGAAGCUCUAUUCUUGCCUCUGCUUUCUACUUUCAAACAGAAGGAAGAACCUGUGCUUUACGCACUCUCGCUUAAUUUGUUCCUUGGAGAAUGUUCUUAGAGGUAACGCUGUCUUUUAUGGUGGCCUGUGCAAUAUCUUACACACAGCACGAGCUUGCUCAGAGUCCCUAGGACCUGCAAUAACCCCAAAAUAAGUCAAGAAUGUAAGACAGAACUGAAUAAUGCCAUUCUAAAUUUAAAGACAUUGUUGAAAUUUGAAUCAGUUUCGGGAGGGGAAAGAAGAGAGACCUCAAUGACAAUGUCCGAAAGGAACAAUUUAUCUUCACCACUGUAGAAAUUGCCUUUCACUCUCUUGCCCUUUGCCCAAAUAAUGUUAUUCCGAAGAGAGAUUUUAGAGGCUCCUAUUUAUAAACUCAUACCUACCAACUUGGAGGAAAAUUAUGUAAGUCCAGAAAAUGUCAGGGCCAAGUUGGGACAGCAUCUUGAAUCCAGAUCUGAAGGGUGUGCUAUUUAGAUCAGUGAACCUAUGACCCUCCAUAUCUUGGGUGGAAUUCAACUGGUGAAUAUUUCAACUGAGUGGAAUAUUUUGGGUGUCAUAGCAGGUAGAGUGUUGGACUAGGAGCUGGGAGAGCAGGGUUUGAAUCCCCACUCAGCUAUGAAGCUCACUGGGUGACCUUGGGCAAGUCAUCACCUCUCAGCCUACCCCACCUCACUGUCAGGGACUGGGCAGAGGAGGAAUGGUGGAGGACCGCCUCCCCAGCCUGACCCUUCCAGAGAAGAAGAAGGCAGUUCAGAAUUACAACAAGGGUUAGGGAGAUCACAGCUCAGAGGCAGAUGGGGGGGGGAGAUGGAAAAUAAUGGGAAGCACCAGAGAAGCAACAGCUGGUGGACACAGUGUCUUUAGAAAGCAUUACAGACCCCCUCUUCCAGAACCUGGUGGGCACUGAAAGUAGGCGAGCAGAGAGCUCAGAAGCAAAGGACACAUCUCAGCA
rnacentral:lncRNA from 1 species